rnacentral:rRNA from 1 species
UACGUAGGGCGCAAGCGUUGUUCGGAAUUAUUGGGCGUAAAGGGCUCGUAGGCGGGUCGGCAAGUCUGACGUGAAAUCUCCACUGCUUAACAGGGAGAGGCCGUUGGAUACUACCGACCUUGAGUAUGGUAGAGGACUGUGGAAUUCCGCGUGUAGCGGUGGAAUGCGUAGAUAUGCGGAAAGAACGACCGGUGGCGAAGGGCGGCAAUCUGGGCCAUAACUGACGCUGAGGGAGCGAAAAGCCA